CCUACGGGCGGCAGCAGUGGGGAAUAUUGCACAAUGGGCGAAAGCCUGAUGCAGCAACGCCGCGUGAGCGAUGAAGGCCUUCGGUUCGUAAAGCUCUGUCCUCCAGGAAGCUAAUGCCGGUACUUGAGGAGGAAGCCCCGGCUAACUACGUGCCAGCAGCCGCGGUAAGACGUAGGGGGCUAGCGUUAUCCGGAGUUACUGGGCGUAAAGGGGGUGUAGGUGGUUUCUUAAGUCAGAGGUGAAAGGCUACGGCUCAACCGGAGUAAGCCUUUGAAACUGGGAAACUUGAGUGGCGGAGAGGAGAGUGGAAUUCCUAGUGUAGCGGUGAAAUGCGUAGAUAUUAGGAGGAACACCAGUUGCGAAGGCGGCUCUCUGGACUGUAACUGACACUGAGGCACGAAAGCGUGGGGAGCGAACAGGAUUAGAUACCCCAGUAGUC
rnacentral:rRNA from 1 species